rnacentral:rRNA from 1 species
UACGGGAGGCAGCAGUGGGGAAUAUUGCACAAUGGGCGCAAGCCUGAUGCAGCCAUGCCGCGUGUAUGAAGAAGGCCUUCGGGUUGUAAAGUACUUUCAGUCGUGAGGAAGGUGUUAAGGUUAAUAACCUUAGCAAUUGACGUUAGCGACAGAAGAAGCACCGGCUAACUCCGUGCCAGCAGCCGCGGUAAUACGGAGGGUGCGAGCGUUAAUCGGAAUUACUGGGCGUAAAGGGCACGCAGGCGGUUAAUUAAGUUGGAUGUGAAAUCCCCGGGCUUAACCUGGGAAUGGCAUUCAAGACUGGUUAGCUAGAGUCUUGUAGAGGGGGUAGAAUUCCAUGUGUAGCGGUGAAAUGCGUAGAGAUGUGGAGGAAUACCGGUGGCGAAGGCGGCCCCUGGGACAAAGACUGACGCUCAUGUGCGAAAGCGUGGGGAGCAAACAGGGAUUAGUACC